GACGAACGCUGGCGGCGUGCUUAACACAUGCAAGUCGAACGAAGUGGCGAACGGGUGAGUAACGCGUAAUCAACCUGCCCUUCAGAGGGGGACAACAGUUGGAAACGACUGCUAAUACCGCAUAAUGAAGGAGGGGAAUGCGUCUGAUUAGAUAGUUGGAGGGGUAACGGCCCACCAAGUCUAUGAUCAGUAGCCGGUCUGGUAGGAUGAACGGCCACAGUGGGACUGAGACACGGCCCAGACUCCUACGGGAGGCAGCAGUGGGGAAUCUUCCGCAAUGGACGAAAGUCUGACGGAGCAACGCCGCGUGAGUGAUGACGGCCUUCGGGUUGUAAAGCUCUGUUAAUCGGGACGCGGUACCGGAAUAGAAAGCCACGGCUAACUACGUGCCAGCAGCCGCGGUAAUUC
rnacentral:rRNA from 1 species